rnacentral:rRNA from 1 species
UUGAUCCUGGCUCAGGAUGAACGCUAGCGGCAGGCCUAACACAUGCAAGUCGAGCGGUAGAGAUCCCUUCGGGGGUCUUGAGAGCGGCGCACGGGUGCGUAACGCGUAUGCAACCUACCCUUUACAGGGGAAUAGCCCGUCGAAAGGCGGAUUAAUGCCCCAUGGACCUUUAGGAAGGCAUCUUCUGGAAGGUAAAGAUUCAUCGGUAAGGGAUGGGCAUGCGUGCCAUUAGCUGGAUGGUGGGGUAACGGCCCACCAUGGCAACGAUGGCUAGGGGUUCUGAGAGGAAGGCCCCCCACACUGGGACUGAGACACGGCCCAGACUCCUACGGGAGGCAGCAGUGAGGAAUAUUGGUCAAUGGGCGCAAGCCUGAACCAGCCAUGCCGCGUGCGGGAAGAAGGCGCUACGCGUCGUAAACCGCUUUUGUCCGGGGGUAACCGCGGGGACGUGUCCCCGCCUGCAAGUACCGGACGAAUAAGGGUCGGCUAACUCCGUGCCAGCAGCCGCGGUAAUACGGAGGACCCGAGCGUUAUCCGGAUUCAUUGGGUUUAAAGGGUGCGCAGGCGGCCCGGUCAGUCAGCGGUGAAAUGCCCGCGCUUCACGCGGGAGCUGCCGUUGAUACUGCCGGGCUAGAAUCUCAGCGAGGCGGGCGGAAUGCGCGGUGUAGCGGUGAAAUGCAUAGAUAUCGCGCAGAACGCCGAUUGGGGAGCCAGCUCGCCAGCUGGGUAUUGACGCUGAGGCACGAAAGCGUGGGGAUCGAACAGGAUUAGAUACCCUGGUAGUC